GCUUUAAUAAUUUAAUAAAAAUAUUGGUCUUGUAAACCAAAAAUAAGUGACCUUUUAAAGCU
rnacentral:tRNA from 1 species